rnacentral:rRNA from 1 species
GGUUAAGCGACUAAGCGUACACGGUGGAUGCCCUGGCAGUCAGAGGCGAUGAAGGACGUGCUAAUCUGCGAAAAGCGUCGGUAAGGUGAUAUGAACCGUUAUAACCGGCGAUGUCCGAAUGGGGAAACCCAGUGUGAUUCGUCACACUAUCGUUAACUGAAUACAUAGGUUAACGAGGCGAACCGGGGGAACUGAAACAUCUAAGUACCCCGAGGAAAAGAAAUCAACC